rnacentral:misc_RNA from 1 species
AGAGUCAGACAGCUGGGAUUUUGGAGUAGGUGCUGGUUUCUAUCUAAAUGCAACACAAGAGAAAUGGAAGAACUGGAAGAUGUAUGACUAUGUGGUCAAAGAAUUGCCGACACUUCUUCAUGAAAACUUUCCUGAACUUGAUACAUCGCGAGCAUCUAUCUUUGGUCACUCUAUGGGUGGGCAUGGAGCACUGACAAUCUACCUGAAAAACCUGGAUAAGUAUAAGUCAGUAUCAGCCUUUGCUCCUAUUGCAAAUCCCGUUAACUGUCCCUGGGGCCUGAAGGCUUUUACAAACUACUUGGGUGAAAAUAAAGCUGAUUGGGAGGAAUAU